CUCUCGCCACGAUGGCCCAAACCCCAGCCCUAAUCGCAAUCCCGACCCAAAUCGGGCGGCCCAGUGCCGCGGCACACCCGGCCGAUCUGCUCCUCUUGAUCGGUUCGUCGCCGCCGGAGGGCGGAAUUCCUUUGUGUUCCUUCUCUCGUUCGGUGCCUCUACCGAUCCCCCGCUGACAACGUUGUCCUGCUUGUUGUUAACUUGGUGGUGCUAUAGUUCACCUCCACCUCUUUCGGUUGCGGAUUAGUUGUCGAGGCUUCAUUUUGGGUCUUUCAUAACUAUGAAAUUUUUCUGUGCAGUGAGGCUGAGGAUCUCUGGCAUCUGUAGGUUCUACUCCUCCUUGUUAAGAUAUGAGGAGGUGAUGAUAAUGAACCAGUCGACACAGAAACACCACCGCCAACUACAAGUCAUAGGAGAAAGAAAUCAUCAGUUUGGGAGCAUUUUACAAUCAAAGAAGUCUCUGACGGAUGUAUGCGAGCUUGCUGCAAACUGUGUAAACAAACCUUUGCAUACAGUCAAAGAUAGCGGGCACUAGCUACCUCAAGAGACAUAUCGCCUUAGAUUCCUGCCCCGAAAUAAAAUAUCAGUACAAACUGGCACUUGCAUCGGUGGCAAAAUCUGAUGGAGAUAUCCCUGAUCCACCCAAAAGACGCUAUAGGUCAUCUGGUUUUUCAAGUGUUUUGAUCAGGACCAAAGCUGUGUGAAUCUUGCCAAGAUGAUCAUCGUGCAUGAAUAUCCACUCGGCAUGAUUGAGCAUGUUGAAUUGGUGGAAGCUCAACCAUCUCAAGUAUCCAACGCUCUCAAAGAUGGCCCGAGAUAUCAUUAGUUUCAUGGUUGCGGUGUGAUCUAAGGAAAUAAUAUGAUCAUGGAGCGUAUGAUCUCUUUCUUUCUCGGGUUUUCCCCCUCCAUGUUGAAGUGCAUGGAUCCCCUGGACUAUGUACCUCCUGCUCUAAAAAAAUGUGACUGUCAUAUGUGGCCUCUUGCUAUCAGGGGACUUGGCAAGUUCAUUGUAAAAGUUAUGAAACAUGAGAGGAAUCUUUGUUGCCAUUGAUUCUGCCAGCAAAAGCCGGACUGUGUACCAAUUGCUAUUGGGAGUGGCUGGGUUCGAAUGGGUAAGUGUGUGUGAUCGAUCAACAAGGUGGUGGUUACAUGAUCCUCCUGAACACCUCAUCGAAUGGUGUAUCAUCCAAGUGAGUGAACUGCUGUGAGAAAUGGGAAAGGUCUUUUAUAGCACGAGUUUCCAUCCUAAAACAGCCCCAUCAUUCUAUGAUCUAUGGGUAAUCUGGUAAAUUGGAUUUGCUUCCCCUCAUUUCUCGAACAUUUUUGUGGCCCCCAGAAGAAACAGUUAGUGACUGUUAUGCUUAAUUCGAGUUACUGACUGUUGUUAUGCA